GUCAGACGAACGCGGCGGCGUGCUAAUACAUGCAAGUCGAGCGGACAGAUGGGAGCUUGCUCCCUGAUGUUAGCGGCGGACGGGUGAGUAACACGUGGGUAACCUGCCUGUAAGACUGGGAUAACUCCGGGAAACCGGGGCUAAUACCGGAUGGUUGUUUGAACCGCAUGGUUCAAACAUAAAAGGUGGCUUCGGCUACCACUUACAGAUGGACCCGCGGCGCAUUAGCUAGUUGGUGAGGUAACGGCUCACCAAGGCAACGAUGCGUAGCCGACCUGAGAGGGUGAUCGGCCACACUGGGACUGAGACACGGCCCAGACUCCUACGGGAGGCAGCAGUAGGGAAUCUUCCGCAAUGGACGAAAGUCUGACGGAGCAACGCCGCGUGAGUGAUGAAGGUUUUCGGAUCGUAAAGCUCUGUUGUUAGGGAAGAACAAGUACCGUUCGAAUAGGGCGGACCUUGACGGACCAACCA
rnacentral:rRNA from 1 species